rnacentral:rRNA from 1 species
UACAGAGGUCUCAAGCGUUGUUCGGAUUCAUUGGGCGUAAAGGGUGCGUAGGUGGCGCCGUAAGUCAGGUGUGAAAUUUCGGAGCUUAACUCCGAAACUGCAUUUGAUACUGCGGUGCUUGAGGACUGGAGAGGAGACUGGAAUUUACGGUGUAGCAGUGAAAUGCGUAGAGAUCGUAAGGAAGACCAGUGGCGAAGGCGGGUCUCUGGACAGCUUCCUGAC